rnacentral:rRNA from 1 species
GGGACCCGUCUUGAAACACGGACCAAGGAGUCUAGCAUGUGCGCGAGUCAUUGGGAUAUUGACUAAACCUAAAGGCGCAAUGAAAGUGAAGGUCCGCCACGCGCGGACCUAGGGAAGAUGGGCUGUCUCGAGGGACAGUCUCGCAUUCCCGGGGCGUCUCGUUCUCGUCACGAGAAGAGGCGCACCCAGAGCGUACACGCUGGGACCCGAAAGAUGGUGAACUAUGCCUGGUCAGGACGAAGUCAGGGGAAACCCUGAUGGAGGUCCGUAGCGAUUCUGACGUGCAAAUCGAUCGUCGGAACUGGGUAUAGGGGCGAAAGACUAAUCGAACCAUCUAGUAGCUGGUUCCCUCCGAAGUUUCCCUCAGGAUAGCUGGCGCUCGCUUCUCGCGAGUCUCAUUCGGUAAAGCGAAUGAUUAGAGGCAUUGGGGUCGAAACGGCCUCAACCUAUUCUCAAACUUUAAAUGGGUGAGAUCUCCGGCUUGCUUGAACUGUGAAGCCGCGAGAUAUCGGAUCAGAGUGCCAAGUGGGCCACUUUUGGUAAGCAGAACUGGCGCUGUGGGAUGAACCAAACGCCGAGUUAAAGCGCCUAAAUCGACGCUUAUGGGAUACCAUGAAAGGCGUUGGUAACUUAAGACAGCAGGACGGUGGCCAUGGAAGUCGGAAUCCGCUAAGGAGUGUGUAAA